GGAGCUUGCUCCUUUGCCGGCGAGUGGCGCACGGGUGCGUAACGCGUAUACAACCUACCUUAUACAGGGGUAUAGCCCAGGGAAACUUGGAUUAACACCCCAUAGUAAUAUGUUUUGGCAUCAUUACAUAUUUAAAACUACGGUGGUAUAAGAUGGGUAUGCGUCCCAUUAGCUUGUUGGUGUGGUAACGGCACACCAAGGCUACGAUGGGUAGGGGCCCUGAGAGGGGGAUCCCCCACACUGGUACUGAGACACGGACCAGACUCCUACGGGAGGCAGCAGUGAGGAAUAUUGGACAAUGGGCGGGAGCCUGAUCCAGCCAUGCCGCGUGCAGGAAGACUGCCCUAUGGGUUGUAAACUGCUUUUAUACGGGAAGAAACCCACCUACGUGUAGGUGGCUGACGGUACCGUAAGAAUAAGGACCGGCUAACUCCGUGCCAGCAGCCGCGGUAAUACGGAGGGUCCGAGCG
rnacentral:rRNA from 1 species